rnacentral:rRNA from 1 species
AGAGUUUGAUCCUGGCUCAGAACGAACUUUGGCGGCGUGGAUAAGACAUGCAAGUCGAACGAGAGAAUUGCUAGCUUGCUAAUAAUUCUCUAGUGGCGCACGGGUGAGUAAUACGUGAGUAACCUGCCCCCGAGAGCGGGAUAGCCCUGGGAAACUGGGAUUAAUACCGCAUAGUAUCGAAAGAUUAAAGCAGCAAUGCGCUUGGGGAUGGGCUCGCGGCCUAUUAGUUAGUUGGUGAGGUAACGGCUCACCAAGGCGAUGACGGGUAGCCGGUCUGAGAGGAUGUCCGGCCACACUGGAACUGAGACACGGUCCAGACACCUACGGGUGGCAGCAGUCGAGAAUCAUUCACAAUGGGGGAAACCCUGAUGGUGCGACGCCGCGUGGGGGAAUGAAGGUCUUCGGAUUGUAAACCCCUGUCAUGUGGGAGCAAAUUAAAAAGAUAGUACCACAAGAGGAAGAGACGGCUAACUCUGUGCCAGCAGCCGCGGUAAUACAGAGGUCUCAAGCGUUGUUCGGAAUCACUGGGCGUAAAGCGUGCGUAGGCUGUUUCGUAAGUCGUGUGUGAAAGGCGCGGGCUCAACCCGCGGACGGCACAUGAUACUGCGAGACUAGAGUAAUGGAGGGGGAACCGGAAUUCUCGGUGUAGCAGUGAAAUGCGUAGAUAUCGAGAGGAACACUCGUGGCGAAGGCGGGUUCCUGGACAUUAACUGACGCUGAGGCACGAAGGCCAGGGGAGCGAAAGGGAUUAGAUACCCCUGUAGUCCUGGCAGUAAACGGUGCACGCUUGGGGUGCGGGGGAAACCACCCUCUGCGUGCCGGAAGCUAACCCGAUAAACGUGCCGCCUGGGGAGUACGGUCGCAAGAAUUAAAAUUCAAAAGAAAAUUUGACGGGGACCCGCACAAGCGGUGGAGUAUGUGGCUUAAUUCGAUGCAACGCGAAGAACCUUACCUGGGCUUGACAUGUAAUGAACAACAUGUGAAAGCAUGCGACUCUUCGGAGGCGUUACACAGGUGCUGCAUGGCCGUCGUCAGCUCGUGUCGUGAGAUGUUUGGUUAAGUCCAGCAACGAGCGCAACCCCUGUUGCCAGUUACCAGCACGUGAAGGUGGGGACUCUGGCGAGACUGCCCAGAUCAACUGGGAGGAAGGUGGGGACGACGUCAGGUCAGUAUGGCCCUUAUGCCCAGGGCUGCACACGUACUACAAUGCCCAGUACAGAGGGGGCCGAAGCCGCGAGGCGGAGGAAAUCCUGAAAACUGGGCCCAGUUCGGACUGUAGGCUGCAACCCGCCUACACGAAGCCGGAAUCGCUAGUAAUGGCGCAUCAGCUACGGCGCCGUGAAUACGUUCCCGGGUCUUGCACUCACCGCCCGUCA